AGAUCUGCUCGUAAAGCCCGAGCAGGGUAAAAUAAAAAAAGCUUACUGAGA
rnacentral:sRNA from 17 species